AUCACUGUAAGUUAAUCCAUCACCAGGAAGAAACCACACUGUUACACACAGAAUCAAUGCAGACUGAACUAAAAAUGGGGGGAAGCUGAAUCCCCAAUAUUAAAGAAAUGGAUACAAGUCGGGAGAUGACUCAGUGGAUAGCCCCUGGGUUUGAUCCCCAGCACAACAAAGAAGUACCAAGGGCAGCAUGAAAGGUAGCUCCAAGGAUGAAUGGUGAAGCACUGCUUUGGUGUCUCUCUCUCUCUCCCCUGUUUCUCCACCUCUUUUCUCCCUAAGUAUAUAGAAUCAAAUAAUAAUAACAGUAAAAAUAAUAAUAAAAAGAACCAGGAAGGUCAUUCAAUGCAAUUACUCAAAAUAAAGCACUUGGUUCAUUCUUAACACUGAAUUUUUUUUUUUUAAACUGAGGCAGGAAGGCUAGCACACACCCAGAAGGGCACAGGCCCUGUCAUGCACACAGUACAAGCAUGACAGGAAAUCACACAGCACCAGUCCAGGGCUGCCUCUCCCUUUAUCUGAAUGGGAAAAAAAGAAAGUCAACUUGGGAACAGUGAAACUGUGCAUACAUGAGUCCUGGACUCCACAUACACACACACAUACACAUACACACACACACACCAAAAAAAAAGAUAAAGAAGUUAUGUUAACCACCAUAUACACACAGAAUGAAUACUUAUAGUUUCAAUAACAGAAAAAAUACUCAUGUUAAGAAAAAACGAUAGUAUGCAACACUAUACAUACUUAACUAUGCAAAAAAUAAUAAAAUGUUGAUAGUGGAUGCCACUAACUGAUAAAAGAAAAAUUAUUUUUCUAUCUAUAUUUUUUCUAGGAUUUGUAUAGUCAACAAUUUAAUUUCUUGAAGUAAAAAAUAAAAAGAAUUAAACUUUUCUUUUUUUGUUUUUUUACCACUUAGGCUCAGUGCCUCCGUGACAAAUCCAACAUUCCCAGUGGCCCUUUUUCUUUUUUGUUUCCUUUUUUGGAUAGACAGAUAAAUUGAGAGCGAAUGGGUAAAUAUGAAGGAUAAGAGAAACAGAGACACCUGCAGCACUGCUUCACCACUCAUGAAGCUUUCCCCCUGCAGGUGGGGAACCAGGGGCUGAACCCACGUCCUUGUUCAUAGUAGUGUGUGCACUCUACCAGGUGCCCCACCAUCUGGCCCCAAACUACUUUUUUUUUUUUAAACAAGAGAUGCGUACAUAGUAUGUAUGUGAGGGUUGUAUAAAUUAAGUUAAUUAAAAGUGCUUUGGCCAAGAGAAAGCUCCGUGGGUAGAUCACACACCUUAAUGUGUGAGGCCCUAAUUCAAUCCCCGGUGACCAUGUGGAAGAACUAAGGACAGAAGCAAGGACAGCACCAAGGGAACACCACAGUUGGUGGAGUGGUUCUUUGGUUUACAUCUCCUCCUUUCCUCCCUCCCUUGUCACACCCUGCUCCCCUUUCUGGCAAAGGCCAUAGAAUAAGGACUGGACUAGGCAGUCUGCGCAGAGGCAUUACACGUGUGCAAGGCCUUGGGUUCAUCACCCUGGGAAUUACUAAGAAUGAAAAAAAAAAAUCCCUUUGCAGUAUACAUUGAGGUCAUAAAAUACUCAGAUACUCUGUUCCAAUAACUCCACUCUUGAGAAUGUAUCUAGAAGAAGUCCAUUCAAAACAAGAAAAAGUUAUAUGCAGUAGAAAAAAUGCAAGCAGGGGGACAGGUGGUGGUGCACCUGGCCCUGGCCCCCACCUACAGAAGGAAAACUUCACACUAGUGGUGAAGCAGAGCUACAGGUGUUUGUCUCUUUCCCUCUCUAUCUCCCCCUCCCUUAUCAAUAAUAAAUAA